UCUAGAGAAGGAUAUUAGUCUUUGUUUCUUAGCACAACGCCAAGUUUAAGUAAGCCAGUCCAAAUUAUUUAUGCCGUCAUUGCAAAAGGGAUUAAGAUCCUGUGCUAUGACUUACUACUGCCGGAAUACUUUUUUGGUGACAAGCAAAAGAUAUCAGCAUAGGAAUACCUUCCUUCUCCCCUUUGUUGCUAUAUCUCAUAUGAUCUCCUC
rnacentral:lncRNA from 1 species